rnacentral:rRNA from 1 species
UACGGGGGGGGCAAGCGUUGUUCGGAAUUACUGGGCGUAAAGGGCUCGUAGGCGGCCAACUAAGUCAGACGUGAAAUCCCUCGGCUUAACCGGGGAACUGCGUCUGAUACUGGAUGGCUUGAGAUUGGGAGAGGGAUGCGGAAUUCCAGGUGUAGCGGUGAAAUGCGUAGAUAGUCUGGAGGAACACCGGUGGCGAAGGCGGCAUCCUGGACCAACACUGACGCUGAGGAGCGAAAGCCAGGGGAGCAAACGGG